rnacentral:rRNA from 1 species
GACGAACGCUGGCGGCGUGCCUAAUACAUGCAAGUAGGACGCAGUUGCGAACGGGUGAGUAACGCGUAGGUAACUACCUAUUAGAGGGGGAUAACUAUUGGAAACGAUAGCUAAUACCGCAUACUCGUAGAUGGACCUGCGUUGUAUUAGCUAGUAGGUAGGGUAAUGGCCUACCUAGGCAACGAUACAUGGUCGACCUGAAAGGGUGGUCGGCCACACAGGGACUGAGAAACGGCCCAGACUCCGACGGGAGGCAGCAGUAGGGAAUCUUCGGCAAGUGGGGGAAUCCUGACCGAGCAACGCCGCGGGAGUGAAGAAGGUUCUCUGAUCGUAAAGCUCUGUUGUUAAGGAAGCGGUACUUAACCAGAAAGGGACGGCUAACUACGUGCCAGCAGCCGCGGUAAUAC